rnacentral:lncRNA from 1 species
AUGGCAGAGAUGACGAAUUUUGACAAAGAGAUUUAUUUAUAGACUAAUACACUUGAAACAAAUAGCCAAACCGAAAACUGCAGACAUUAUCAGUGCCUCCCCGCAAUCAAACCGAUAUAAAAAAUAAAAUGAAUCAUCACACCUGCCAUUUUCCGGUGAGAGAGAAUUGGCCCUGUAUUUACCAUAAAAUGUAGCUCAUCUACCAUGACAGAAGAGAAAGAUCCAGACUGUUGAUUGGGAAACAAGAACAAACAACAACGCAUGAGGUUUGGGUGUUGAGGGACCACUUGUCACAUUGUCCAAGGUGUAUUUGUGUUAUGAUAAUGCUUUUUCCAUCCUGGUAAAGAUGUUGAUACGGCAUUGAAAAAGACCCACCACUGACCAAAUGUCUCUUUGUUUUCCAGUCCAACAGGACUGCUUCACACAGGCCACCCGGUGCAUGGACAUCCUGUGCCAGUGUGAUCCGAGCGCACGCGUACAGUUGUAAAGACUACAGCGAAUCGAGCCUGUGAACGGACAGGUCAGUUACUCAUCAAAUAUGAUACAAUAUUGUGUAAAACAUUGAAUUUGUAGAUGAAUCGACAUUUUGACUUUAUUACCCCUUUUCCCGACGUUUUAGACAUGAGGUGUGACAUGCGGAACAUCAGGCUCACCCCACUAGAAGCAGUGCAUGAUCAACGCCACCCUCAGCAAGGAGAUGUGCUGGAAGUGAUGUACUCUCUCACUCUGGGUAACACCCCAUCCAAUGACUGAUCUGAGGACCCUUUUUAGCAGCGGUGGAGUAACGCGCUUGGCCUUUACCACUGCUCCAUAAUUGCUGGCCGUCAACUUCCUUUUCCUCAUGGUGUGCCUGUUGGAGUUGGUGCAAGGUUAGCGGUUGUUAUGGCUCCUGUUCAAGGAGACAUGCCAUUCCACUGAAUCUGCCACAGAGACUGUUCCUUAGCCACUGAAGAUCCUGCUCUUUGGGCUCUCGGGACAGAAGGUUGUAUUCUUCGGCCAGGUACAGGUCCUCCACUGAUUACACCUGGUUGGACACCGCUGGUUUCCUCCACUUGCAUUCCACAUCCAUAUGCCUGAUAUUGUGAACUGACAAAAUAGGCUGCAUGGCAAGACUCAUGAGCUCCACUGAGGAAUUCCCAUGUGGUAGAGAGAAUCCCCUGGUCACCUAUAGAGACCUGCCAAGAGGAAGGAUUUAAAGUGCCACAUGCCUUUCAAUGCAUGACUUUGAACAUGUUGAAAUGCAUUUAUUGCAAUAAAUGUGCUAUAUAAAUAAAGUUUGAUUUGAUCGAUGACAUUACAGCUGUAGAAUAUUU